UUCCAAUUUUAUCAAUAAACCUUGAGGUUUCCUCGUAUCUUCCUGGUGAAUUCCAAAUUUGAUUGUUUCAAGGAAUUAAUGCUAUACGUGAUGAUGUUGAGGUGAGUCUACAUCCAUUGAUCAUGAUCGUUUUUCAGUUAGUAUGUAUUUAUUCCAGCUUGUGCUGUUAAUUGUUCCAAUUCUGAAUGUUGUAGGCUUUCAUCUUCCCAAAACAAUUGAGAAGGACCUGGCUUCCACCAUUACCUAAUGUCAAAACUCUUAACGUAAUCAUCAAUUCUGAAAAAGGUGCAAAACAUUGUGACUUGAGGCACUCUUUAUUUUGGUUGGCACCAUGUGCAUCUCUUACAUUACUUCUGAGUACAAGUACAGGAGGAAAGUUCUUUAAAGGUGCACUCUUGUAUCUUGGUAUACAAGAAAACUCAGCAUCCCAGUUUUUCUAAGUUUAAUAUCAUGUUGAGUUUAUUUUAGUGCUCUCGAAGACACAUUGCAAUGUUCUUGUUUCAAUGAUUUUCUCAUCUUUUCAAAUAAGGUGAAUACAUUACCUUCUCUUGAAUUAAUUCGUGAGAUUUGCGAUCCCCUCG
rnacentral:lncRNA from 1 species